rnacentral:tRNA from 2 species
GGCGGCGUAGCUCAGCUGGUCAGAGCAGCGGAAUCAUAAUCCGCGUGUCGUAGGUUCGAGUCCUACCGCCGCUACCA